GCUCGGGCGGAGCUGGAGACGUGUGGAGCUGUUCGAGGACUCGCGGGUGUGCAGGGAUGCGGUUUAAUAUUUUCAUGUGAUUCCUAAAAGAAUCUGAGGCUCAAGAAAAGAGGGCAUCUUAAUAUCCUGCACUUUCAGUCAUUGAGGGCAUGAUCACAAAGAUCAAAGCCAUUUUUAGGCAGUGCACCUAUGAUAUGUGUUUUAGAAAUAGCCGUUAAACUUUGGUUUGAAUGAAGAAUGUCUCUCAAUCCACCUAUAUUUCUCAAACGAAGUGAAGAAAAUAGUUCAAAAUUUGUGGAAACAAAACAGUCACAAACUACUUCCAUAGCUUCAGAAGAUCCCCUUCAAAACUUAUGUUUAGCAUCUCAAGAAGUUCUUCAAAAAGCUCAGCAAAGUGGGAGAUCAAAAUGUCUCAAAUGUGGUGGUUCCAGAAUGUUCUACUGCUAUACAUGUUAUGUUCCAGUUGAAAAUGUACCUAUUGAACAGAUUCCACUUGUGAAGGUUAGUAAGAAAUUUAAUUGUUUGAAAGUAUGAAAAUAGAUUUUUUAAAAACAUCUCAUGUAUACCUACUCUAAUUGAUAAACUUAAUAA
rnacentral:lncRNA from 1 species